rnacentral:rRNA from 1 species
UACGGAGGGUGCAAACGUUGCUCGGAAUCAUUGGGCGUAAAGCGCACGUAGGCGGCCUGUUAAGUCGGGUGUGAAAGCCCUGGGCUCAACCCAGGAAAGUGCACUCGAAACUGGCGGGCUUGAAUAUGGAAGAGGGUCGCGGAAUUCCCGGUGUAGAGGUGAAAUUCGUAGAUAUCGGGAGGAACACCAGUGGCGAAGGCGGCGACCUGGGCCAAUAUUGACGCUGAGGUGCGAAAGCGUGGGGAGCAAACAGG